rnacentral:tRNA from 1 species
GUUUUAAUAGUUUAUAUAAAAUAUUGAUAUUGUAAAUCAAUGAAAAAAAUUUUUUUUUAAAACU